GCGGCCAAGGGUGAGGUUGUUCGCCUAUUAAAGGAGAUCGUGAGCUGGGUUUAGACCGUCGUGAGACAGGUCGGUUACUAUCUGUCAGGGGUGUUUUGCGGUCUGAGGGCAGGUUGGCUUCAGUACGAGAGGAACAAGCCAACGGCGCCUCUGGUCUAUCGGCUGUCCGGCCGGGCACGCCGAGCAGCUACGCGCUAACGGAUAAGGGCUGAAAGCAUCUAAGUCCGAAACCGCACCCGAAAAGAGACCGCUUAGGAUACUCGUAGAAGACGAGUUUGAUAGAGCCGGGAUGUACGCACCAAGGCAACGAGGUGUUCAGUCCGCGGCCACUAACAAUCCCGCAGCGCUCUGCU
rnacentral:rRNA from 1 species